rnacentral:rRNA from 1 species
UACGAAGGGGGCUAGCGUUGCUCGGAUUGACUGGGCGUAAAGGGCGCGUAGGCGGUUUGUACAGUCAGACGUGAAAUUCCCGGGCUCAACCUGGGGGCUGCGUUUGAUACGUGCAGACUUGAGUUCGGAAGAGGGUCGUGGAAUUCCCAGUGUAGAGGUGAAAGUUCGUAGAUAUUGGGAAGAACACCGGUGGCGAAGGCGGCGACCUGGUCCGAUACUGACGCUGAGGCGCGAAAGCGUGGGGAGCAAACAGG